rfam:Ipomoea nil DNA, scaffold: scaffold2144, cultivar: Tokyo-kokei standard.
GCGGGGAUAGCUUAGUGGGGAAAGUGUUAGACUGAAGAUUUGAAGGUCAUGUGUUCAAUCCACGUUUACCGCA